ensembl:lncRNA
CUUCCCCACCCACUGAGACAGGAGUAAUAAGCCUGGUUGGGGGUGCUGGUUAGGAGUUCCUUUCAGAAAGCCGUUACCCUCUGCAGAGCAGAGAUGAUGUCUUCGCUUAUUUGGGGGUGAAGUGGGUGAGGGGGACUGGGGAAUGGACCCAGGACCUUCACACUGAGCUACAUCCUCAGGCCCUUUUUAUUUUUAAGACAGGGUCUCAUCAAGUCUCCCAAGUUGCCCAGAUGGCCUCAAAUUCGCAAUUCUCUUGCCUCAGCCUCCCAGGGAGAUGAUAUCUUCUGCCCAACUGAGUUCUUAGUUUAGGACCCGGGACUCAACUCCCAGCUCAAUCCCCACCUUUCUUUGCCCUGUGGAAAAGGGCAGGCCUGGAAUGGGGUGUGGCCAGUGCAGAGCAGUGUGCAGAAACAGCAACGGACAGAGCCCUAAGUGUCUCCUUCCGAGAUGGAAACGAUCAGUGAUUGAAGACAGGAUUGCCCGGGUCUGCGGUUGUUGUCAACAGCAACCUGCUGAUUAACACUUCGACGAUCACAGCUGCCAUUCACCAGCUCAAGCAGUGAGCUCUUGCACAAAGAAUGAAGCUGAAGUUCUGAAGUUACAAGGUAGAAAAGGAGGUAAUGGAGAAAUCUUAUAGAGGGAUCCAGAAGAACCCUGCACUGAGGGAAUAAUCAGAAAAUAUUUGCACCAGAUUUGGCACCAUGUGACUCCUGGCUCUUCCCCAAAGUCAAAACGACCAUGAAAAGUAAACGUUUGGAAUCAAUCUAGGACAUUGAGGCAGCUAUCACAGUGAAAUCAGACACUCAUGAAAAAAGACUCCCUGAACUGCCUCGGAAAUUGGCAAGAACAGUGGACUAAGUGUGUUUAGAGUGAAGGGGGAGGGUUAGGAGGGGGAUUAAUGGCCACGUGUCUUUUACUAUAAAACAAUUUUGAAAAUUCAAACAUUCAUCGAAUCUUCUGCUCACAGCCUGAAAGUUUACAGUGAGGAUGGAGGAAGAAACUGUACUUUGUUGUGACAGGCCUGGCUGAGGAGCAGCACCCUGCAAGCGCUGGCUCUUGUUCUUUCCUUCAAUGGUGCUGUCUUGUCUGCCUUAGCAGACUGCAAGCUUCAUAGAGCAAACAGCCAUCUUCUGUCAGUGGGUACCACAGCAGCCGUCUGUUUUUCACUACGAAAAUCCCGGUCAGGAGGCCGUCCCGUGUCUCUUUUCAAAGUGGCCACAGUGACCCCAGCUCCUUCCAGUCCCGGAAACCACUGUCCUCAACAUGUGGCCUCCAGGGUUCGAAAAGAAGAGGAGAGGAAGAUUCCAAGCCAAGCCUGAAAGUGGACACACAGUUUUUGCUCACAUACUGUUGCCAGAAUUAAUCUAUGACUCACCUACAUGGAGGCUUCUGUGUGCCUAGCAAGAGAAGGAAAUGGUUUGGUUAAUACAGCGUCGGCUCUGUCAUCACAGGCAAGAGUGGAUCCCUAAAGGAGAAUUGGGGUGACAGAACUGGGAGGGGGUGGAUGCUGAGCAGGAAGACACACCUGAUGGGGGACCCUCCGGUAGCCACAGCUUGCUUCCAAGGCCCAAGUGUCCCUUCCCUAGAUAACAAUCAUCACUUUCAUCUCAAGAAAAAUGGCUUCCCAAAGGGUGCAGUGCAGCCAUUUACAGGAGCCUCCACGGAUUCUGCCUGGAUCUCAGAGCUGUCACGGACACAGGCCAGCUCCUGACACAAUUGUCCUCUGUGUUUCCUUCCUCAGUUCCCUCCAUCAAGGGCAUAUUUGGCAUGGAGCAAAGCUCUAUAGGUGACCGUUUGUGGAGUUUCCCCCAACCCAGGCGCCCAAGGGCCAGGCCAAGAGAGUAGAGAAUGGAUCACGUGAGGUCUCAGUGAGGAGGAAAAGGCAGCCUGUAAGCCGGUCGUUGGGACCAGUGCCAUGACCAGCCAUCAGCCACAACAUGCACCGGCAGGAGGAUGUGGCCACUGAGGGCUUGGAAAGACUUCCCAAGGGCUUCCUUCAGAAGCAUUAAAAGUGAAAACAGAAUUUUAAAAAGUGAAGUCUGACCUGCAGAGGAGUAGUUCGAGUCCUUGUGAGUCCUUGUGAAUCUCGGGCCUGCUUGGUCUCCAGAGCUCUAAUCUCAUCUUGGAAUUUAAACUUCUUACAUAAGCUGCUUUGGAGCUAAGGUGACCAGAGGUCUUGCUUCUCUGGUCCCAGUCUUUGUGCCUCCUCUGUAGGUGUCUUAAAAUCAGUUUUUAGGGAUUCAUUUGCCAAUCGGAUGUGGGGUUGAUUAUUGAAAAGCUAUGAUUCACACAGGAAGUCUUAUUGCACUUCCUCUUCCUUGUCCCCAGCUCCUGUCUUCUCCACCCCAUCCUGGACUCCGCAUUCUGCCCCUCAGGUCCUACAGAGAUAAACCGUCCCUUGCCUGGCCGCAUUCCUGUCUUCUCUUGCCUUUCCCCUCUUUGGUGACAGUCAGACACCAAAUAGUCUCUGCCCACAGUAUUUGUUGGUUUGGAAUGGCAGUUCGCACAGACUUCCAGUAGAUGGCAGCAGUGGACGAGCCACGCAGGCGGGAGUUUCGGAACCUGGAAGCGGCGCGACCCGAAGUGGGCUCCCAGCAAGCCCGGGCUGCGUGCGCUUCCAUCCGGUCUGGGUGACUCCAAGUGCGCAGUUAUCUACAAACGUGAAGUUUGGGGUGUAGAUUUAGCAAGUCACUGGACAGUUUGAUUAUUCGGACCCAGGCCACAUUAAGAUGCUCUUUCUAUGAGAGGAAGAUAACCCGGUUAUCAAGGGGCCACGAGCAGACACCGUGAGAACUGGGCCCUUUACAUCUGCACAGCGAGGGAGGCCUAUGAAGGUGCUGUCCUUCCAGUGACCGGUCAAACUGGCCACACUUCCCUCCUGCCCAGCAUAGGAUGAUGGGACAGUGGGAUGUCACCCAGCACGCUGCGAGUCCCACGGCAGAGAGGCCGUCUGUUCACUUCCACAUCCCAAGUCGGUCGAGGCGUUUUUGCAAGUACCGGGGAUUGAACUCAGGACCUUGCACUUGCAAGGCAGACACAUUGCCACUGAACUAAAUCCCUGGCUGAGUUAUCUUUUUUCUAUAAUGUAUUUGCAAAUAUUCUCUGAUUAUCAUUUGUUUCUUUAAAGUGUG